UACGAAGGGUGCAAGCGUUACUCGGAAUUACUGGGCGUAAAGCGUGCGUAGGUGGUGAGUUAAGUCUGUCGUGAAAUCCCCGGGCUCAACCCGGGAAGUGCGGUAGAUACUCCAAGACUAGAGUGCUGGAGGGGUGCGUGGAAUUCCCGGUGUAGCGGUGAAAUGCGUAGAUAUCGAGAGGAACACCUGCGGCGAAGGCGGGUUGCUGGGCUGACACUGACGCUGAUGCGCGAAAGCCAGGGGAGCGAACGGG
rnacentral:rRNA from 1 species